rnacentral:rRNA from 1 species
UAGGGAAUCUUCCACAAUGGGCGCAAGCCUGANGGAGCAACACCGCGUGAGUGAAGAAGGGUUUCGGCUCGUAAAGCUCUGUUGUUAAAGAAGAACACGUAUGAGAGUAGAAGUUCCUCCGUUGACGGUAUUUAACCAGAAAGUCACGGCCAAAUACGUGCCCGCCGCCGCGGUAAUAAGUAGGUUGCCAGCGUUAUCCGGAUUUAUUGGGGGUAAAGAGAGUGCCGGCGGUUUUCUAAGUUUGAUGUGAAAGCCUUCGGCUUCACCGGAGAAGUGCAUCGGAAACUGGAUAACUUGAGUGCAGAAGAGGGUAGUGGAACUCCAUGUGUAGCGGUGGAAUGCGUAGAUAUAUGGAAGAACACCAGUGGCGAAGGCGGCUAUCUGGUCUGUAACUGACGCUGAGGCUCGAAAGCAUGGGUAGCGAACAGGAUUAGAUACCCUGGUAGUCCAUGCCGUAAACGAUGAGUGCUAGGUGUUGGAGGGUUUCCGGGCUUCAGUGCCGGAGCUAACGCAUUAAGCACUCCGCCUGGGGAGUACGACCGCAAGGUUG